rnacentral:sRNA from 1 species
AGGUUCAAGACUACAUCAAAACAUAUUUAGGUGAUAAUAAGGAGUCCAGAGAGUUUGCCAAGAAGUUUGUGGACAAGAGAAACAAGUUCCGCAACCAAGCAAGAUUGGUUAGGCAGCAAGAGGAGGACAGUAUCUGGGGCCCUGCACCAGCUAUCAAUCCUCACAACCAGAUCAGAGGCAGCGGCAACCCAAACAACAUCAACACAGAGGGCAGAGAAGGCACCACAAGCAAAGCCAAGAACCGGAAAAAAAAACAGAAGAUGCAGAAGCUGGAUGGUAGCAAGCUGGGCUUUACAGUGCAGGCUGACCCCAACCGCAAGAACGCUGCCGGGGAAUUUGAAGUUAUUGAAUGACCUACUUAACAUGGUCAUAAAAAGAAAAAAAAGCUAUGUGAUACUUUAGGACCAGAUCUUCUAAUGAUAUUCUGAUGUUGAGGAGGGCUUUUUUUUGUCAUUGUUUUUUUUUUUCUCUUUUAAAAAUAUUUGCUUUUAAAUUCAUCUGCCAUGCUGUAAGAUUGUUUUAAGGGGAAGUCAAUCUGUUCUAUAGUUGAUUUUAAUACUCUGCAGUCUUGAGUUUAUGCAAAUAAAUCUGUCCCCCCUAACUCCCAGUGAUUUUAAACUGAGCUGAUAGACUGACAAUGUUUACAUCUAGUGUUUAUUUCCACUUUGACUUGACCAGUGUGCCAAUGGAAUCCAUUAAAUGAGGUGAUGUAAUACUACA